rnacentral:lncRNA from 13 species
CAUCCUCCCAUGUACAUCUUGGGCUGCCAAGAUCAGCAGAGGAAAAGUUGCCAACUUUUACGGUGGACCACUUGAGGUCAGGAGUUUGAGACCAGCCUGGCCAACACGGUGAAACACCGUCUCCAUUAAAAAUACAAAAUUCAGCUGGGCAUGGUGGUGCACCCCUGUAAUCCUACUUACUUGGGAGGCUGAGGCAUGUGAAUUGAUUGAGCCCAGGAGGCAGAAGCAGAGAGCAAAGAUCACACUAUAGCACUCCAGCCUGGGAGACCCAGCAAGACCCUGUCACAAAAGAAAAAAAAGGCUAAGAAGAAUAUUUCUCUCAUAAAGUGAUUAUCAUUUCAUUCUCCUUUCAUUGACCUCAUCUACAGUUUGGGGAAAUAGCUCUGGGCUUUUGAAGACUUUCAUCAACACACCUCUGCAGUAUUAGGUCCUCCUCUGGCUGCCGCUCAAGUCGGGGAGGAGCCCUGGAGGCAUCAGACCUGUGGGAAAGAAGGAAGACAAGAGGAAAGCUCAAGGAGAGAGGAGAAUCCAUUGUUUCUGGACUUGCUGCCCUGCUCAGGAGUACGUAUGUAAGCUGCUUGAUCUGGAUGAAUAAGAGCUUUUAGAGUUCAUAAUAAAUGGAUUGUGAAUCUUUAUUCGUUUCCUGUA